rnacentral:lncRNA from 1 species
AUUGGGGGAAGGCUCAGGGGUUUCGUAGAUUUUUUGUUUUUUCUUCUUUUCAUCUGCUUCUCUCCUAUUCGAAGCCGUAAUCGCACGCUCGGCAAGUCGAUUAAUAGUUUCCAUUGACUUUCCCUUCCCUCUCAUUUUCUGAAUUCCAUCAGUCUCUUCUUCGAUAGGGUCAGUGCUAUGCUGCUUACCUCCGCCUUUUGUCUUUGCC